AUUUUCUCUGGCAUGCCUGCAGUGUUUACGGGGAUGUUAUCAGGGGAAGAGCUGUCUCAGGCUUAUGCUAGUGGUGACGUUUUUGUAAUGCCUUCCGAAUCGGAGACGUUGGGACUCGUCGUAUUGGAAGCUAUGUCCUCUGGGAUCCCCGUGAUUGGAGCUCGUGCCGGUGGAGUUCCAGACAUAAUUCCUCCUGAACUAGACGGUAAAAUCGGCCACCUUUA
rnacentral:misc_RNA from 1 species